AUCAGGUGGGACUACCCGCUGAACUUAAGCAUAUCAAUAAGCGGAGGAAAAGAAACUAACAAGGAUUCCCCCAGUAACGGCGAGUGAAGAGGGAAAAGCCCAAAUUUGUAAUCUGGCUCUUUUAGAGUCCGAGUUGUAAUUUUGAGAACUGUUUUCUGUGCUGGACCAUGUUUAAGUCUGUUGAAAAACAGCAUCAUUGAGGGUGAUAAUCCCGUUCAUGAUAUGGACUACCAGUGCUCUAUGAUACAGUCUCUAAGAGUCGAGUUGUUUGGGAAUGCAGCUCAAAGUGGGUGGUAAAUUCCAUCUAAGGCUAAAUAUAGGUGAGAGACCGAUAGCAAACAAGUACCGUGAGGGAAAGAUGAAAAGAACUUUGGAAAGAGAGUUAACAGUACGUGAAAUUGCUGAAAGGGAAACAAUUGAAGUUAGCCUUGUUAUUUCCAGUUCAACCCUUUUAGGGUGUAUUCUGGUGAUUAACGACCAACAUCAGUCUUUGAGUGCUGGAUAAGGGUUUUGGAAAUGUAGCAGUCUAGGCUGUGUUAUAGUCCAUUACUUUGAUACAAUGCUUAGGAUUGAGGAUCGCAGUAAGCCAAUCUUGGUGGAUCAAUUUAUUGGUCUUCUUACUGAGGAUGUUGGUGAAAUA
rnacentral:rRNA from 1 species